AUCUAGCAGAUGAGUCGCAAAUAGGACGUAACACACAUCCUAGAU
rnacentral:hammerhead_ribozyme from 1 species